rnacentral:misc_RNA from 1 species
AACGCACGAGACCUGCGGACCUGCGGAGGGAUCAUUAGUGAACGCCCUCACGGGCUUAUAACUAUUCCAAACCUCUGUGAACCGUGCCCUUCGGGGCUAUUUUACAAACAUGGCGUAAUGAACGUCAUAUAUCAUAACAAAACAAAACUUUCAGCAACGGAUCUCU